GUCUACGACAGUGCGAGAGAUGAGGCUGAGCUGCAGCUGCCUCAUCUCUAUCUCUCCCUGCAAUUGAAGGAGUCCUGCAACUCUUGCUUAAUGCAUCUCACCACCAUUGAGCAGCAGUUCUGUGGGCAAAAACACCUUACUGAGAUGUGUCAGAGGAGAAUUGGUUGAUGAUGGCAGGAGGGUGACAGUAGCAAUGUGUUACAGCAGUGGUAUACAGAAUGCACAGCACACUGAGCCUGGAAGCAGACAGCAAUAGAUGACCACAGAUGACCACACUGGGUUCCUCUUCUGUCAUCUAACGCCAGAAAACUGAGGAUAAAGUGGGCACAGGAUCACCAGAGGUGAUCAGAUCGGAGAAAUGGUGCCUGAUAUGACCAAUGUAAUUCUGCUGUUACAUGCAAAUAGUAGGGUAGUAGUUGGACAUAAACAACAUGAAUCAAUGGAUCCAGCCUGCCUUAUGUCAAUGAUUCAGAUUGGUGGUGAUGUAAUGGUGGGUUAAUGUUUUCUUGGCAUACAUUUGGCACCUUAGUCCAGUUGAGCAUUGUGUAAAUGCCACAGUCUACCUAUGUUUACUGUCUAUCCAUUUUAUAAUGGCUACAUCCAGCAGGAAAAUGCACAAUAUUCUUCAGCAUCUCAAGAUCAGUCUGGUUCCACGAAGAAGACAAUAAAGUCAGUGUACUCCAAUGCUUGUAUAGUUACCAGAUCAGAUCUAAAUCCAAUAGUAAACUGUUGGGAUUUGGUGUAACGGGAGAUUCAUAGUAUAAAUGUGCUGGUGGCAAAUGUUGACUAAACAAGAUUAUUAACAGUUA